AUUAUUUUGGCUAUUUUAUUACUCCCGCUUGCAUGUGUCAGUGCUUCCCUCACCUCCCGUGCAACCUCUUCGUGUUCUGCUUUCAUGCGUCUUUGUUCCACCAUUUUUCAAUUUUCAUUUUCUCAUUUAUGCAUUCCAAUUCCGCACUCUAACCGCGAUCCUGCAUUUUCAUUCUCUGGUGAGGUUGUCACCUGUGUUGGUUGAAGAAGUUCACUUCACCUUGGUAAGGUUCUUUGUAUAUUCUCCUCCACCCCUAAGCGCCAAAAGUUUUUUUCUUUUUUCUUUUUCAUUUUCUUUGUAGAAACCUGAUUUCUCGCUCAAUUCACGUCACUGAUUCACUUUAUUUUUUCCUCAGGUCGACAAUGGUGCUGCCACGUUGGAGAAACCAAUGUCGGUGGUGAAAAAUUCGUAGGAAUUAGGCAUGCUGGAGCCUCCCGAUGAUCCCAGAGAAUGCGCCGUUCAAUACUCUUCUUUGCCUCUCAUCUCUUUUCCUUUUUAUGGUUUUCAUCUUCUUCUUUCACAACUCACAAAAAGAAGCAUUUUUAUGUUUUGCAUUUUAGGAUUCAAAUUCAAAUCGACUGUUAUGGCUUAUGGGUAUGUGUUCAUCACUGCAAGGUGUCCGCAUUUGGGUUUCUCUCCUAUUGAAAAAAAAAUAGGUCGCUUUACACUAAAUUUGUUUGCUUUCACCAAUCUAAUGCAUUCUUGGAUUUUUAAUUUUUGUGUAGCAAAUAUAACUUCUAUUUGGAAUGGAAAUUAAUACUCACUCUGUUAUUAAAUAAGUUGCAAAAAUAUCAAGAGAUUUACAAUUUUUUUUUCUUUUUUGGGCUAGAAAGGCAUUUAAGAAUCUACUAAUAUUGUAAUAACUCUACUGUCAGAAUGCAAGACACUUGUGUUGAGCUAUGACCAAUACAAAGAUGCAUAGGAUACAAGUGUUGUAAUUGAGGUAUAUUCUUGACUAUAUGUAAGAAGUCAUGUUUUUAAUUUUAUCUUGGUAUAAGAGGUUUUUGCCAUAAAAGUGUGUAAAAAAAAUAAUUGAAAUUUUUUUCUGAUUCAUAACUUUGAUUUGGAUGGUUAGGAUAAUAUUAUAAAUAUUCUUUUUAUUUAAGUCUAUAAAUCCGCUUGGUUUACUUUUUUUAUUUGUCAUUAAUAUUUUAAAUCAUCGUAUUUGAAUCUAUUCUUGUAAGUUGAGUAUGUCAUGUAUCAGCUUUUGAGCUAGGAUUUGCAAUUAAUCAUGCUUAUCUAACUUUUCAGAUCAAGCAAGGUAGGAAAGUUGCUUGCUGAAGCAUUAUUGGGAGGAUUGCAGGGAAAUAGGUAAUUUGCUUAUUUCAAAAUUUCUUUAUAAAAUUUAGCUCCUUUAAAAUUGUGGAAUAUGAAAUAUUUUUAAUCUAUGAAUUUUAGGCCUAUUACACAAAUAAAACAUAUUUUUAAUCUAUCUAUGGACUCAUGGUCUAUUUUAUAUUUACAUUAAUGGAUUUCUAAAGACUGCUUAACAACUCAUGGUCUAUUUUAAAGUUUGUUACUUUCGAUCCUUUUUGUAAUGUAGUGAUUUUGUUUAUAUUAAAUGUCAUUUGUGUAUUUGUGUAACAUUGGCUAGUGCUCUAUUUUAUCUGGAUAAUGUUAUACGAGUCUUUCUGCAUUUUGUUUGAAUGAUAUUUUAUUUUUUUAUUUGUUUUGGACUUAUUUAUGAGUUGCAAGUUAUGUGUUUGAUGUAAUGCUCAAAUGAACUUUGACAUGUUUUAGCUGAUAUAAUGCUUAAGUUUAUUAUAAAACAUGAACUUUGAAAAGAAAAUUGCACAUGGUUAGCUCAAUCAAAUAAUUUUUUUUUCUCAACCUUUUAGAUGAUUGACUUUCAUUUACAAUGCAUCAUUGCAUGCUUGCUGAUUAAGGGAAAAAAUUGCAGACCUAGGCCCCCAGGACUGAAUCUUUCGAUAUGAUAUUGUUGAAGUUAGGAGAUUACCAUGUUUUAAGCAAAUAUGCCUUUUAUAUUAUUCGUCUUACUGUGUGUCUACAGUUAUUGAGCCUAAAAAAUUGUCAUGGAUUGUGCUAUGAGUGCUCAAGCAAUUCUAAGAUACAAGUGUGUCUAAGUUAAGAUAAUUUGAUGGUAGUUAUUAUUUAUUAUAUUUCAGUUUUAUAGUUUGAAAACUAACAUUUGACUUCUUAAAAUUAAUUGUGGUGCCCCUUAUGAUUUUGAUUAAUAUAUAUUUAGUGGUGGGUUGGACUCUCAUGCCUAUAAACUUUUAACACAACCAAAUCAUGGUCCAAUUAUACUGAAAAUUGCCCAAAUCAUGAUGUAUAGAUAUCAUUAUACAUAUUUUCUCAAUGAAUCUUCUUCAAACAUGGAGAUCCAUAUGUAAAACUAUCACAACUUUUUCAUUUAAGAAACAUCACUCCCUAAAGAUAGUCCAGUGAAUAUUUUAGAUGAGUUCUGUUUAUGAAUUGAACUUUGGAGGUGUAGAACUUUUUCACAGCAUCAUCUUUAUAUGCAAUGCUCAAUUCUGAUAAUUUGGUGAUAACUGUGAUUGUUUUUUUUUUUACUGAAUCAACGUGCAUAUCAGGCUGUCGAAAGAGUUUGUUUUGAUAAUUCAAAAGAAAAAACAAAUCUAACAGGAAUAUGAUUUGCAGAUCAAUUACAUUUUGUCAUUUGAAGAUGUCACUUUGAAGUUCAUUAGUGCUGGUGAACAAGUACCCUUUGUGUUGUUGGUCUUUAAAUAAGAAUUAUAUGACUGCAAUGUUUUUCAAUGAGUGAAUUUUUUGAAGAGUUUAUAUUGUAAUUUUGUUUUUCAAAAGAAAUUUUUUUGCUUAUAUUGUUCUCUAUUCCAUUCUUCUUUUGCAUCUAAAACUUGUGUUCACAAAGUUAAUCCAACCACACACAUGGUAGUAAUUCAAUAAUGUUUAUACUCAUUUAUGAGUUAGUUUUUUUGUUUAAAAAUGAGUAAAGCUUGAGAGCAAUUGUUUAUACUCUUCUAAUUUUUUACUCUUCUAUGGCUUUAGGCAAUUAAAUUAAUACUUUAGUUGUAUUAAUAAUCUUUAUCAUUUGAAGAGAAUCAUAUUUUAUCAUUUGAAGAGGUCACUUUGAAGUUCAUUAGUGAUGGUGAACAUAUACUCUUCAUGUUGUUGGUCUUUAAAUAAGAAUUAAAACUACAAUGUUUUUCAAUGAGUGGAUUUCUUGAAGAGUUUAUAUUGUAAUUUUGUUUUACAAGAAGAAAAUGUUUUUAUGUGUAUUCUUGUUUGUUUCAUUCUUCUCUUGCAUCUAAAACUUGUGUUCACAAUGUUAAUUAAUCUAACCAUACACGCAAUAGCAAAUCAAAUUAAUAAUGUUGAUACACAUUUAUGAGUUAGUUUUUUUUUCUUUUUGAAAAAAUGGGUAGAGCUUAGAAGUAAUUUAUGAUACUCUUAUAUGACUUUAGGCAAUUAAAUCACUACUUUAGUUGUAUUCUUAAUCUUUAGUUUUUCGUGUUUUUCUCAGUGACAACAAGAAUGUAUUGGAUGAAACAACUACAAUUAAGCUUUUCAAAAGAUAGUAGUUGAUUCUUGAUAUGACUACUGCAUAUUUUUUGGUUAGACAUUCAUUGUUGUUGCAUAUAUGUUUUCUUCAAUUUUAUUUAUAAAGUUCUUCUUGGUCGUUUGUGUAUGAAAUUCUCUCAAGCACAUUUGAUUACUUAAAAGUUAAUAAAUAUUGUCAAUGUAUAUUCAUGUGAGUUUAUAGAUAUUUUUUGCUUGCAAAUUAAUUUGGGUUUCCAAUCUUGGCCGUUUAAAUAAUUUGAUUGCUCUUAGAAGAUGACUAUUCAUCAAAGAAUAGUAAUUUUGAGUGGAUCAGUUGUGCCUUUUGGAUUUUUCAUUUAAAUAAAUAAAUAAAUAAAAUUAAGUCAUCAGUUCCCUCACUAGAACUUUUAACCCAAAGAAUGCUUGAGCGACUACAUCGAGGUAAGGAAUGAAUUACUCACGCUUGGGGAUUAGAAGGAACAUGUAUAGGGAUCCCUAGAGGAUCAAUUCUGGAUUAUUUUGGGUUGUUUCUUUUUUUAAAAAAAAUAAAUUCUGUUUUUCCUAAAUUUAUUGUGAUCGAAUUCCACUCGUACAAAUUUGAUUUAUUUAUAUAUGUUUCAAGCUUUGAUCUCAAAUUUUGAAUUGUAUAAUAAUUAUAUAUAUGGAGUUAUACGAUUUUUUUUAUAUACGCGUUAAUUGUCAUUACAAACCAUUGCAUUGGUUUCAAUUGCAAAACUCACGUGAAUUGCCAAACCUCAAAUUGAUUUUUUUUUUCGUAUGAAUAAUUCUUAUGGCCUAGAUUUUCUAAUUUUGGCAUUCAAAGCAACAUCACACCCUUGUGUCCUUUGGUUAUAAUAAUUAACAAUAUGUGUGUGUGAGUGUCAGAUAGAUAUAUGAGUUGUUUUUCAAAUGUUUUAAUAGUCUAAACGAAUUUGCAACGGUAAAAAGGUUAAUACAUUAGAGGCUUCCCUUGAAGGUGCAAUAUAUAUGUUUAAUACGUUAAUCAUUGUGCAUAUUAAAUUGGUAAACCAUAUUAAGCAUUGUGCAUAUUAAAUUGGUAAACGGAUUGCAGCAGUAAAUAUAUUGAUAUGUAAGAGGUUUUCUUUCAAGGUGCAAUAAUACAUGUUUUAUAUAUUAAUCAUUGGAGAUAUUAAAUUUGUAAACGGUUGUGCAGUAGUGGUAAUAUUCAUAGUUUUGCUUAUAUAUAUAUAAUACAUUCUUACUUAUAUAUAUAUUUGGUAUUACAUGUAAUUGUAUUGUGAUGUGUUAUAUAUAUUUGCUACAUGUAAAUAUAUUUAUAAGUUUUGAAGUUAGAUAUAUUUUAUUAUUAUAAUCAGUGGCGGACCUACGUUCAAAUGAGGGGUGCACUUGCAUCCCCUCAUUUUUUAAUAAUAAAAUCUUAUAUUUUUGUAUUUUAUUUUAUCUAUAUUUAUAUAAUUGAACCCAUUGAUUUUAUUUUUUAUAAUUUACCCCCACUGACUUAGGGUCUUGGAUCCGCCACUGAUUAUAAUACAUUCUUACCUAUUAGAUAAAUAUUUUGUAGUUAGUUAAUCGAGAUCUAGGGGUGCAUAUAAUUAUUUUAUACUUAAUGUUUUGAUUUGCUUAGUGCGUAUAUACUACCUAGAAUUUAUAUUGUUAUUAAUUAAUUGACAUUAAAGAUGUUAUAGUUUUGCUUUGAUAUGAUUUUGAAAAUUAUUCGAGUCGAUGUGUAUGUACUGGGUUGUGUCUUAUAAAUAUUGCUAUGAAUGUAUAACAUGAUAUAUGAUUAUAAUUGAAAUAUAUGAUGAAUUGUGAGUUAUGAAUUAUACAAUCACACAAUUAUAAGACCCUUUAAGGGCGACGAGUUAAUGCAUAAUGAGUUGUGAUGGGUUCCACGGUGGGAUCUCAAUGAGUUUAAUCGCUUGAGGCACGAUGAGUUAAAAUAAUUUUGGAAAAUAAUUGAGAUUUUGAAAACAAUUGAGUGGUUGUGUACAUUGCAUAGUUCAUAGGUAGAGUCUGUGUGUUAAAAUAUCUUCUGGGUUGGACCUGAAUCAGAAGAGAGAGGCCCUAACGGACUCCUCGGAGUCUAGGCCUUGAGGAUAAAUACACUCAAUUUGAGUGCUCCUUUAAGCUUGUGUUGAUCUCAUAUGGUUGGAUCAUUCUCGCAAAAUAGAGUGAUCCUGACUGGUCUCCCUAUGAUUUCACUUAGUGAGAGUGACCUGACUUACCCAUUGUGAGGCAUGUCUUGUCAUGUACUCCUAGACGUCCGAUGAGGUUUUUCACUAAAAAAUGGUGUCACAUUGCAUGUAGACUUGAGUCUAGUGUAUUUGUUGCAUAAUGUUUGUGUUUGACUUUCAUUGAGUUAACAAUUGCGGUUUGAUGUUAUUUUUUGGAGUGUGUGAACUUGAGUGAGUGUGAAUAAUGUGUGUGAUUUUGUGAAGUGAUGUUGUUUAUAUAAAUUUAGCUCUAAGUAUUAUAUGUUUCACAUGUUCUAGUGUUUUAUUAUAUACGAAUGUGAUAACUCAUUUUCGGUGUGUGUUUGUGUUUGGGCUAAAUGUCAUUUUGUUUCAAGUGAGCCAGCAUAUGAUGAGUUCCAUGCUGGAGAUGGAGAGGUUUAGUCUAUGCCAGGGAAAUGCUCUGAUAAAUGUGACAUCAGGGCAUAGGAUUUUAUUUCAUAUUUUAUAAUUUCAAGAAUAAUAUAAUUGUUUUAUGUUUUCCAAACUUUAGUGUGUCUUCUUUUCAUUCAAAAUGGGCGGCCUUAUUUUAAGCCGAGAUAAUUUUAUCAGUAUUUGAACAAGUUCUAUUAUGAUUUCACUAAGCGAAUGUGAAUCUUUUACCAUUUUGAAAUAUUUUUAUUUAAAUGUGUUUUAAAAUUUUCAAUUAAUUUUUUAUUCUUAUCCUUUUAUUAUAUGUGUGUGUGAGAGAGAGGUAGAGGGUGUCACAUCGAGUACCAAUCAAUUAAUAAAGAGUUUUGUUCCUUUCUCAUUGACAACAAGGAUAUAUUGGAUGAAAAGACUGCCAUGAAGCUUUUAGAAAGGUAGUAGUUGAUUCUUGAUAUAUUUGUUGCAUGUUUUUUGGCUAGACACUAAUUCUUGGUGCAUACCUGUUUUCUUCAAUUUACUUAUAAAGUUCUGGUAGUUUGUGCAUAUGAAAUUCUCUUGAGCAUGUUUAAUUACUUAAAAGUUUAUAUAAUUGUCAAUGGAGAUCCAUGUGAGUUUAUAAAUAUUUUUUGCAUGCAAAUUAAUUUGGGUUUCCUAUCUAGAUCUUUUGAAUAAAUCAAAUGCUCUUGCAAGAUGAUUUUGCAUCGAAGAAUAGCAGUUGAGAGGACCAAUCAAUUAUUAAAGAGUUUCAUGCUUUUCUCAGUGGCAACAAAGGAUAUAUUGGAUGAAACAACUACAAUUAAGCUUUUGGAAAGGUAGUAGUUGAUUCUUGAUAUGUAUGCUGCAUGUUUUUUGGUUGGAGAUUAAUUCUUGGUGCAUACUUGUUUCCUUCAAUUUUAUUCAUAAAGUUGUGGUAGUUUGUGUAUAUGAAAUACUCUCAAGCACGUGUUAUUUCUUUUGCAAAUUUAAAUUCAAUGAAAGAUGCAGGAAAGUAAAGGAUGUGCUUUGAGGAUAGAGUGAAGGGUCCAAAUCCAUGUUUGUUUGUAUUGAUUAGUUUUGUAGUUCUUUGAGAUUUUUAGAAUUUUUUGGCUGGACAUUAAUUCUUGGUGCAUACUUGUUUUCUUCAAUUUUAUUUAUAAAGUUGUGGUAGUUUGCGUAUAUGAAAUUCUAUCGAGCACAUGUUAUUUCUUUUGCAAAGUUAAAUUCAACGAAAGACGCAGGAAAGUAAAGGAUGUGCUUUGAGGAUAGAGUGAAGAGUCGAAAUCCAUGUUUGUUUGUAUUGAUUAGUUUUGUAGUUCUUUGAGAUUUUUAGAAUUUUAUGGCUGGACAAUAAUUCUUGGUUCAUACCUGUUUUCUUCACUUUUAUUUAUAAAGUUGUGGUAGUUUGUUUAUAUGAAAUUCUCUCGAGCACAUGUUAUUUCGUUUAUUUUACUUUAUGAUAAUUGCUAAAUAAGAGUUGUUUUUUUAUGAAAAUAGAGUUAAAAUAUCUUUAAAAACAAUUAUUUAGUAGUUAUCCAUGCUUAAUUGUUAGGAAUUGAUAUUUUUUGUUUACGGCUUGCAGAUAUAAAAAAUGGAGGGAUUAAAAGAAAAAAGAUGCAGAAAAUAUGAAAAAAGAUAAAGGUUCGAGCAUCAGGCCCAGCCCAAGACGCGCUCAGUGCACGCUAAGCGCGAAAACUGGUACCUACGCUAAGCAGAGCGCGCUAAGCGCGAAAACAGGCACUUGUGCUAAGCGAGCAGAGCGCGCAAAGCGCAAGUACACAGACCCAAGUCCUCUCCAGCAACUAUAAAAAGGGAGUCAAGCCAAAGGGAAAACACACUGAGUCUCACAGCACUCUCAUACAUACCCAAAGCCUGAGAACUCUUCCUUAGGGAAUUCUCUUCUCUCUCUCAUCAUUCUUUCUAUUCCCUUCUUCCAUCCCUUCUCCUCUACUAAUUCUUAUACCCUCAUUUCAGUGUAAGGCCCUCAAUGGCCAUGAGAGGCUAAACCCCUAGUUAGGGUCUGGCAUGCCUAAAAAGCCAAAAGAUGUAUGAUGUACUCCAUAUUUAUCAAUGCAACAGGUGUUUUCUAUCCUAUUGUCUUUUCUUAUUUAUAUAUCAUGCAUUACUCAUCUUUACAUUAUGUUAGGGGUUAGAUGUUCGACAGAGG
rnacentral:lncRNA from 1 species